rnacentral:rRNA from 1 species
GAUGAACGCUGGCGGCGUGCCUAAUACAUGCAAGUCGAACGAAACUUCUUUAUCACCGAGUGCUUGCACUCACCGAUAAAGAGUUGAGUGGCGAACGGGUGAGUAACACGUGGGCAACCUGCCCAAAAGAGGGUGAUAACACUUGGAAACAGGUGCUAAUACCGCAUAACCAUAGUUACCGCAUGGUAACUAUGUAAAAGGUGGCUAUACUACCGCUUUUGGAUGGGCCCGCGGCGCAUUAGCUAGUUGGUAGGGUAAAGGCUUACCAAGGCAAUGAUGCGUAGCCGAAUUGAGAGGUUGAUCGGCCACAUUGGGACUGAGACACGGCCCAAACUCCUACGGGAGGCAGCAGUAGGGAAUCUUCCACAAUGGGCGAAAGCCUGAUGGAGUAACGCCGCGUGGGUGAAGAAGGUCUUCGGAUCGUAAAACCCUGUUGUUAGAGAAGAAAGUGCGUGAGAGUAACUGUUCACGUUUCGACGGUAUCUAACCAGAAAGCCACGGCUAACUACGUG